UACGGGGGGGGGUAAGCGUUGUUCGGAAUUACUGGGCGUAAAGGGCUCGUAGGUGGCCAACUAAGUCAGACGUGAAAUCCCCAGGCUCAACCUGGGAACUGCGUCUGAUACUGGAUGGCUUGAAUUCGGGAGAGGGAUGCAGAAUUCCAGGUGUAGCGGUGAAAUGCGUAGAUAUCUGGAGGAAUACCGGUGGCGAAGGCGGCAUCCUGGACCGAUAUUGACACUGAUGAGCGAAAGCCAGGGGAGCAAACGGG
rnacentral:rRNA from 1 species